rnacentral:rRNA from 1 species
AGAACGAACGCUGGCGGCAGGCCUAACACAUGCAAGUCGAACGAGAAGCCACCUUCGGGUGGUGGACAGUGGCAGACGGGUGAGUAACGCGUGGGAACGUGCCUUUCGGUUCGGGAUAACCCAGGGAAACUUGGGCUAAAUACCGGAUACGCCCUUCGGGGGAAAGAUUCAUUGCCGAAAGAUCGGCCCGCGUCGGAUUAGCUAGUUGGUGGGGUAAAAAGCCUACCAAGGCGACGAUCCGUAGCUGGUCUGAGAGGAUGACCAGCCACACUGGGACUGAGACACGGCCCAGACUCCUACGGGAGGCAGCAGUGGGGAAUAUUGGACAAUGGGCGCAAGCCUGAUCCAGCCAUGCCGCGUGGGUGAAGAAGGCCUUAGGGUGUAAACCCCUUUCAGCGGGGAAGAUAAUGACGGUACCGCAGAAGAAGUCCCGGCUAACUCCGUGCCAGCAGCCGC